rfam:Nicotiana attenuata strain TT chromosome 3, whole genome shotgun sequence.
CAAAAGGUUUUCAUCAAAACCAUAAAUAAGAUAUUAGCUAUUCUUU